GACUUCACAGUCCUGUCAGGGCUUCCUGUCCUCAUUAAAGGGAGGAUCUUAAACAUCCUUGUGGUUUACAUGUCGCUUAUUGCUUGCUGGUAUGCCUGAGCAUUUAUUUCCAGAAGAGAGAGCAGCUGUUUAUUUCCUCAGGUGUGAUUGGCUCAGACAUUUGUUGACAGUCCCUAAGUGAACAACAGAGCGCUUGAGGAGGAAGCAGAAGGGAGCGGUAGAUUAAUGCCCGAAGAAAAUACAAGGUAGAUAUCUAAGCAUUUUGAAAACACUUAUAUUAGAAGACCAAUCCAUCCAUUCAUCCAUUUUCUGUUCACCCUUGUCCCUAAUGGGGUCGGGAGGGUUGCUGGUUCCUCUCCAG